rnacentral:rRNA from 1 species
GACGAACGCUGGCGGCGUGCUUAACACAUGCAAGUCGAACGGGCCUGUCUUCUUUUUUGGGGGUGGGUUGAGUGGCGAACGGGUGAGUAUCACGUGAGUAACCUGCCCUUCGGUCCUGGAUAACCGCUUGAAAGGGCGGCUAAUACGGGGUGGUCCGGUUGGUCCGCAUGGGCUGGUCGGGAUAGAUUCACUGUUUUUGGUGUUUCGGCGGGGGAUGGGCUCGCGGCCUAUCAGCUUGUUGGUGGGGUGAUGGCCUACCAAGGCGGUGACGGGUAGCCGGCCUGAGAGGGUGGGCGGCCACACUGGGACUGAGAUACGGCCCAGACUCCUGCGGGAGGCAGCAGUGGGGGGGAUUGCACAAUGGGCGGAAGCCUGAUGCAGCGACGUCGCGUGAGGGAUGGAGGCCUUCGGGUUGUGAACCUCUGUUUCCGGUGGUGAAGGCCCUGUCCGUGUGGUGGGGUUGACGGUAGCCGGGGAUGAAGCGCCGGCUAACUACGUG